CCGGCACGAGCGCACCCUUGUCCUUAUUUGCCACCAUUUUAUGACGGUCUUCUGGGGAUGCCGCCGACGACCAACUGGAAGAAGGGGGGGACGACAUCAACUCAUCAUGGCCCUUACGACCAGGGCUACCCACGUGCUACAAUGCUCGGAACAAAGGGUUGCCCCCUCGCGAGAGGAAAAUCCCAUAAUAAAGCCGAUCGUCCUCCGGAUCGUCUUCUGCAACUCUGCUGGAAGAAGUCGGAAUCGCUAAUAAUCGAUAAUAAUAAUGCCGCGGUGAAUACCUUCCCGGGCCUUGUACCCACCGCCCGU
rnacentral:rRNA from 1 species